GACUUAAGAGACUGCAAAUGAACUGUUCCCCAGGAAUUAUGUUUGUACUCUUCUUAACGUUUGGAGGAAGCAACGAAGAUUCAGUGACCCAGAUAGGAGGUCAAGUGACCCUCUCUGAAAGAACUGCCCUGACUGUGAACUGCUCCUAUAAAACCACACAGUAUCCUGCCCUGUUCUGGUACGUCCAGUAUCCCGGAAAAGGUCUGCAGCUUCUCCUGAAAGCCUCAAAGGACAAGGAUAAGGGAAGCCACAAAGGAUUUGAAGCCACGUAUGAUAAAGACACCAGCUCCUUCCACUUGGAGAAAGCCUCAGUGCAAGAGUCAGACUCGGCUGUGUACUACUGUGCUGUGGGUGACACAGUGGCAGGAACUGCAGGGGGAGCCGAACACAAACUCUGGGCAGUGACAAGAGACCUGGCUGUUGGGUGUCUGACUUGGAUUUCAUUGCUUAGAGGUCAGGUACUUGUCUAA